CGUGGAACCGGGAUGGCCGAGGCCUGGGCCGCCGCUCAGCCGCCGAGCCACGCCCUACGGGCCCGGCUGAAGGUCUUCUUUGGAAGCUGAAGAAGCAGCUGGGAUAUGCUAAUCUGGUGGCAGAGGGAAAAGAAUGGUGGAACCUCUUAAAGCUUCCCCUUUCUCCUACUGGGCUGACCUCAACCAGAUGACAGAGGGCCAAGGAGUCUGUUGAUGUGGCCCAUUCAGGCCUGCCUCCUGGGACACAGAGGAGGUGGAGAGGAGAGAGCCAAUCUGGAGGAGCACCACUUUCCCGCCCACAGUCCAGGAAAUGACUUAAUGGUUUGCCAAUAUCAUAAGCAAAAAAUAGUACUUAAGUGCAUUUUAAAUUUGCAUUACCCUAAUUCUUAGCGAGGACUUGUGCUGAUAACACAGGGACACAGUGGUGAGACGAUAUAAACAGAUAUGCUUCAGCGAUUAUGUAGUCAGACUGGGGGCCAGUGGAGAGGAAGAACCAAGAAGUGGAGCUGAUGGCAUCUUUUGAGUCCUGGAUCAAGCCUUACCUGAAGCUACUAGUGACUGUUUAGUAACAGGAGCCAGUGAAUUCCUUUUUGCUUCUGACAGUUUUGUUGUUGAUGGUGAUGGGUGUGUGUGUGUUGGUUACUCAUAACUGCAAGGACUCCAACUGGCCUGGGAUUUGAAACUCCCAUUCUUUACCUCACGUCAGGCUUCAUAUAUGUUUUAUACAUGUCAGUUUAGGGCUGAAUGAGACCUUAGAUAUUAUUCUAUUCCAACUCUGUCAUUUUUCAUUUAUAUACUCAAAAGUUUAAAUAUACAAAAAUAUGAGAGA